rnacentral:lncRNA from 1 species
CUUUUUCAGGCUGGGGCAAAGGGGAAAAACUCUGUAGCCCUUGUCAGGCAAGCAAACAUCUGGCUCUCAUCAGUCUUAUCGUGGCUUACUUGAUGACUUUGAACUGUUUGUCUCUCGUAAAAAAUAUGUUAACAGAGAAGAUUACAAAACUGUGCCAGAGUUCCACCAGUUCAACUCUUUGGGGUCGGGGAUCUCGUUGUCGCUAUAUUUUCUUUUGUUGAUUAGCCAAACAUGGUUGUUGGAGGCGCAUAACGAACAGAACGGUGAGCGUGGGGAAGUGGCUGGAGAAAUUGGAUGUGGAAAAAAAUGGCGGAAGCAGAUGAUGAAGUGGAUUCUGAAUCUAAUAGUGGUAGAAUCAAGGAGAAUUGGAAUAUUGUCCAAAAGAAAGGAAAAAGGAGCAAAGUAGAGUACAGAGAAAAGAAUGUCACUUCGUAUCUUGUAGGAGUACGGUUUGUAAAUGAGGAGCAGCUGAACGAAUUACCAAUAUUGAGGAAUCCAUUUGAGAUAUCCAAACUGGUGGAAAGAGUGCUGGGAAGAGUGAAGGCUGUGAUGAUCACUAGAGGAACAGGGCACAUCUCAAGGGGCUUAUAUCUGGCGUAUCGUGGGAAGUAUAUGUUGAUGAGACAAAACAUAUUCCUGGAGUAAUUGAUGCACGUCUGAUGAAUCGUAGGUGAAUGAAGAAAAGUGAGUUUAUCUGUUUUGUUUGUUGAUAUGGAGUCUCUCCCUACUCAAGUGCAGUUGGGGUAUAUUAACUACAGUCAGAGCAUUUAUCCCAAGACCAAUGCAGUGGGAUCAUUGUGGGAUCUUGCAGACUUGUUUACGCUGCUGUGCGUUUUGUAGCCGAUCUUACUUUGCUACCUGACGGUUUUUUACUUUUUCAUUGCCGUAUAUUUUUACUUUUUCCCUCACUCAACUUUUUUCAUUCAACUUUUUCACCCCGGAGGUUUUAUCUGAACAUGGUUCGUCAGGACUUCAAACAGCCGAAGCUAAGUAACAUUAACAUGAUGCCUUCUAAUUGCAGUCGUUGUACUUAUAAUAUACAGGAGAACGAUCGCCUUACGGCAAGGAUAGCUGUGCUGCAAGCCCGUUAGGCAAGGGUAAUUUCACUGUAGGAAAGGAUGAAACAGCGUCUGUGCCACCAGUAAGUACAGAUAGUAACGUUAGUAUAAACCCCCUCGCACGGUCCCCGCAGCCGGACAUCUUUCUCAUGGCUUCUGGAGGGAAACGCUGUAGGAAUGCUCAACCGGUGUCGCUUAUUCAGCCG